AGCUUGCUCUCUGGGUGGCUAGUGGCGGACGGGUGAGGAAUACAUCGGAAUCUACUCUGUCGUGGGGGAUAACGUAGGGAAACUUACGCUAAUACCGCAUACGACCUACGGGUGAAAGCAGGGGACCUUCGGGCCUUGCGCGAUUGAAUGAGCCGAUGUCGGAUUAGCUAGUUGGCGGGGUAAAGGCCCACCAAGGCGACGAUCCGUAGCUGGUCUGAGAGGAUGAUCAGCCACACUGGAACUGAGACACGGUCCAGACUCCUACGGGAGGCAGCAGUGGGGAAUAUUGGACAAUGGGCGCAAGCCUGAUCCAGCCAUACCGCGUGGGUGAAGAAGGCCUUCGGGUUGUAAAGCCCUUUUGUUGGGAAAGAAAUCCAGCUGGCUAAUACCCGGUUGGGAUGACGGUACCCAAAGAAUAAGCACCGGCUAACUUCGUGCCAGCAGCCGCGGUAAUACGAAGGGUGCAAGCGUUACUCGGAAUUACUGGGCGUAAAGCGUGCGUAGGUGGUCGUUUAAGUCCGUUGUGAAAGCCCUGGGCUCAACCUGGGAACUGCAGUGGAUACUGGGCGACUAGAAUGUG
rnacentral:rRNA from 1 species